ensembl:snoRNA
AAACUAGCAAUUAAUCUGCUUAUCUGAAUGUAUUUCUGUAGAAAUUUAGGAAAAGCUGGGAAUAGUGAUGCCAUUUUAUGAGCCUUAAAGGCAGCUGAAGUUAUUAAGGUCCCUAAGAAUGGCUACAAUA